GACUGGAGCAGGGAGAAAUAGUGCUGCGGCCUGGAGAAGCGCAUCAGCCAGGACCAGAGGACAUCUGCGAGCUGCCGGGCGGCCAAGGGGAGGAAGUCCGGCUGGUGAACCUCGUGGUGGCGAUGUGGCGCAGGUCCCCUAGGGUACCAUGCUGCCUGCUACCACAGCAUCUUCAGGGAGGGUCACAGAAGAGGAGGAAGGCGCUGAACCCAGAUUCCCGCCUGCUGUCAGCGUCCUAGGCCAGGGAGGGCUCUGGUUAUAACUCACAAGCAGGCCUCAUUGUUUUUCUGCUGGUUUUUUUGAAACUAAGAACAAAGGGAGUUAAAACAAAACAAAAACAGAUUCUCAUGGGACCAGCUGGGACACAACAGCCUGAGAGGGUGAAGGCAAAAUGCGGCUGAUUCAAACAUACACCAAAAAACAUAUAAUAAUAAUUUUGCAAGACAAACUUAUAAAAUUAUCCAUAAUGAUUGGCAAGUGUGGUUGGCUCAUGGCUAUUUUCCUCAUUGUCUCCUUAAUGACAAAUUUGGCAAUACAGACUUUUGGGACUUGAGACAACCAAAGAAUUUUAGAUUGCAUUGCAGUUUAUACAGAAUAUAUUAUUGAGUUUUUCAUUAUGAGAAUAACAAUCUUGGUGGUGACUGUUCCUGAAAGCUUUUCUUUUGCAGUUCCCCUUUCCUUGGUUUAUUCUGUAAAGAAAAUGAAAGCUAAUCACUCUGUGAGACAUUUGGGUGCUUGUAAAACUAUGGGAAAUGCAACAGUCUUCUGUUCUGAUAAAGCAAGCACAUUACUAUUCCAGGAGUCCAGGCUUCCAUUGGUAAAGCUCAUUGUGUAAGUCCCAUAUCCAUUUAGAAAUACGUUUUUGACAGGUAUUGCUGUUCAUUGUUCUUAUAACAAUUUUUUAGUUGUUGAGGGUCCACCCAAACAGAUUGGCAAUAUAAUAGAAUGUGUCUUUUUGGGAUUUCUUCAUCAUUUCAGAAUAGAUGUUGAGUAUAUCUUCAACUCAGAAAAUCUAUGACUACUGUCUUCAAACUGCCCGACGAGAGUUUUUGGUUGUUCAAAGAGGGAGUCUCAGAACUAUCACUUAACAGGGGUGUCAAAUCCUGAAUGAAGAGGGAAUCCCUGUGUUUUCCAAAGUGUCAUGAAACCAAUGGCUUGUGCAGGGCUAAAAAUACUGUGCCUGAUAUUCAGAAAUUCUGCAGAUACUGACAACAAACCUGGCUGAGCAAUGCAUAAGAUAUUACUACAGAUCUUGCAUGAAUUGCUUUUGUAGGCAUUGAAGAUGCUAUGAGAGCCAACCUGAGGUGCCAAAUGCAGUUUCAUAAUGCCAGCAUACUAGAUUCACUGCGUGUGUGAUUCUAGUGACAAUCUCCACAUUGUAAGGGCCGUUGCCCUGAAAUAUAGCAUUGUAAAGGUCCCUGAAGGUUACCCAUGUUUAGAGGGUACAGAUUUCAAGAAACUAAUGCGUAAAAAUGACAAUGGAGAAAUUGAAAAAGAAAAAGGGCUCAAAAACAAGCGUUGGUCAAAAUUUCAUGUACUUGCAAGAUCGACAGAGGCAAAUUGUAACAGUUACUGGUGAUGGUCCUCGUGAUGGCCCAGUGUUAAAGAGAGCAGAUGUUGGAUCUGCAACGGGAUUAACAGAAACAAAGAUAGCUAAAGAAGUUUCCUAUAUCGUUCUUACCGAUGACGACCUUGCAAGUAUUGUUAAAGCUGUCACAUGCGGUAGAAAUGUUUAUGACAGCAUCUUCACAUUCCUUCCAUUUCAGUUGGCUGUCAGUGUCACACUUGUCGCCUUCACAGCUGCAUGUGUUGUUGUCCAGGAUUCUCCUUCUAAAGCUGGUCAAACCCCUCUGGUGAAUCUCAUAGUGGAUGCUUUUACUUCCUUCGCUCUGGCAACUGAAAAGACUAUGGCAUCACUUCUGCUUUGUAAAUCUUAUGGUGGAAAAAAAUCUUUCCUGUCCAUUUAUAAAAUUGGUGUAUAACAAUUUUAUAUACAGUGUAUAGUUACUUUUAGUCUUAUGUUUGCUAUAAACUCCUUUUUUAAUUUUGAAAGUGGAAGAAACACCAUCCUACAUGCUCUUCCUUCUCUCCUUCUACCUAUCCAACUUUUUAAUGAAAUGAAUGCCAGGAAGCUUCAUUGCAAAACAAACAUAUUUGAAAGACUUUUCGGUAAUAUCUUUUGUCUAACGGUCAGGUGAACAUUUGCUAUAUCAUGUGGUAUGGUGCAAUACUGGAGAUAGGUGUUCCACUGUACAAAUCUUAGUCCAGACAUAUGACCAUGGUGCAUUUUCCAAGGA
rnacentral:lncRNA from 1 species